UUGCGAGGCGGCGUCGCCAGCGCGUCCGAUCGUCGGAGCAGCAUGGCUGGGGCGCCCGCGCUCCUGUUUGUCGAGGUCGCGUGGCGGCGGCGGCAUGGCCUGCUCUCGCUCGCUUGCCUGCGCCCAGCGGCAGCUGCUCGGGCUCGCCCGCGGUGGCGGCACGGAGCCUGCGCGCUUGCCAGCGUCCAGCGGCAGCUGCUCGGGCUCGCCCGCGGCGGCGGCAGCGACGUGGCCUUUAGGUCGACUUGGCCCACAUCUGCAUGCAGAUUACAGAACGGUGUCGCGGCUGGUCGCCGGCGUUCUUCUGGUCCUGGCAUUAGCUCUGCUCUCUUCGAGCGCGGAGGAGAGGAGCGCCGGGCGCGCUGCCACUGUCAGCGCGAUGGGCUCAGAUCACGAUCAGACGUCGGAAGCUCCGGUGCCGCCGUUGAGGCCUCUUGGGUCGAGGAAACCGGUGGCGGCUCCGCCACCGCCGAGGCCGGCACAUCCACGGGCGAGUAUAAGGCCAUUUCCUCCACCUCGUCCGUCACAGCCGCAGCCGCAGCCGCCGCCGCCGCCACCACGCUCAUCUCAAGGGACCUCCUACCUGAGAUUCCACCGACAAAACCCUGGGUCACCUACCUGAGUUUUAGUAUAAAUUCAGGUAACCAGAUCACUCGGAGCAAUCGUUCGCAGCCAUCAAUCACCAUGAGACUGGUCAAGCUCCUUGCUGUCUUCGCCAUCCUGGCUGUUCUGUUCGCCGUGACAUGGCCCGUUGCUGUGCUAGGGAGGCUGGGUAGGGCGCCCCCGACGCCGAAAUCUGGCCCCGUCAAGCACCAUCGUCCACCACGGCUACAGCGCCCGCCGCCGCCGCCACCACCACCACGGCCGCACCAUCGGCAUGAUGGUCUUCGUCGGCCACUGCCAUAUCCGGCACCACCACCGUGUCAACACUGA
rnacentral:misc_RNA from 1 species